rnacentral:rRNA from 1 species
CCUACGGGUGGCUGCAGUGAGGAAUAUUGGUCAAUGGCCGAGAGGCUGAACCAGCCAAGUCGCGUGAGGGAAGACGGCCCUACGGGUUGUAAACCUCUUUUGUCGGGGAACAAAGCGGACCACGUGUGGUUCAUUGAGAGUACCCGAAGAAAAAGCAUCGGCUAACUCCGUGCCAGCAGCCGCGGUAAUACGGAGGAUGCGAGCGUUAUCCGGAUUUAUUGGGUUUAAAGGGUGCGCAGGCGGUGGGGAAAGUCAGCGGUCAAAUUGCGGGGCUCAACCCCGUACCGCCGUUGAAACUGCAUCCCUUGAGUGCGAGAGAAGUAUGCGGAAUGCGUGGUGUAGCGGUGAAAUGCAUAGAUAUCACGCAGAACUCCGAUUGCGAAGGCAGCAUACCGGCGCGCAACUGACGCUCAUGCACGAAAGCGUGGGUAUCGAACAGGAUUAGAUACCCGUGUAGUC